CGGACUAAUUCGAAGUCAGAUCCAAGCAAAUCUAAAGCUAGAUCUAGAUCAAUCUAAAGUCAGAUCUAAGUCAAUUUGAAGUCUAAAUCUGAAUCAAUCUAAAAUUAGAUCCAGACCAAUUCGAAGCCAGAUGUAGGCUAAUCCAAAGUCAAAAUCAAGAUCAAUCCGAAGUCAAAAUCAGACCAAUUCAAAGCAAAAAUAAGGCAAAAUCGAAGCAAAAAUAAGGUCAAGCUGA
rnacentral:lncRNA from 1 species